UUCAUCUGAAACCCAUCCAGUUUCUGUGACGGUUGGCUCUCCUUGAUGACUCUCAAUUCCCACAUUUGCUUUGGAUCCACUGCAAGGGCCACAUACAUGUUUGUUUGUCUCGGUCAGUUUUUUGCAACAUUUUUACUGAGUGUGAUGGCACGAUCAGCAGAGUGUUUAGAUACUGGCCGAGAUUUCUUGGCCUGUGAUUAUGGCAUUAUUUCAGUAUAUCUUGGUAGGGCCUAUUUUCAUCAAGAUUUACCCUCAUGGUGAGAAGUGAAGCCAGCUGGACUUCUUGGGUUGAGUGGGGACUUGGAGAACUUUUCUGUCUAGCUAGAGGAUUGUAAAUGCACCAAUCAGCACUCUGUGUCUAGCUGAAGGAUUGUAAAUGCACCAAUCAGCACUCUAUAAAAACACACCAAUCAACACUCUGUAAAAUGGACCAAUCAGCAGUCUGUAAAAUGGACCAGUCAGUGCUCUGUAAAAUGGACCAAUCAGCAGGAUGUGGGCAGGGCCAAAUAAGGGAAUAAAUGCUGGCUGCCUGAGCCAGCAGUGGCAACCCUCUGCAGUCCCCUUCCCCACUGUGGAAGCUUUAUUCUUUCAGUCUUGACAAUAAAUCUUGCUGCAGCUCAUUCUUUGGGUCUGCACUACCAUUUUUUUUUUUUUUUUUUUUUGAGACGGAGUCUUGCUCUGUCACCCAGGCUCGAGUGCAGUGGCCUGAUCUCUGCUCACUGCAAGCUCCACCUCCUGGGUUCACACCAUUCUCCUGCCUCAGCCUCCCGAGUAGCUGGGACUACAGGCACCCACCAGCACAAGGGGCUAAUUUUUUGUAUUUUUAGUAGAGACGGGGUUUCACCAUGUUAGCCAGGAUGGUCUUUAUCUCCUGACCUCAUGAUCUACCUGCCUCGGCCUCCCAAAGUGCUAGGAGGGUCCGCACUACCUUUAUGAGCUGUAACACUCACCACGAGGGUCUGUGGCUUCAUUCCUGAAGUCAGCAAGACCACAAACCCACUGGGAGGAACAAACAACUCCAGACACGCCACUUUAAGAGCUGUAACACUCACUGCGAAGUUCUGUGGCUUCACUCCUGAAGUCAGCGAGACUACAAACCCACCGGAAGGAACAACCAGCUCCGGAUGCGCGCCACCUUUAAGAGCUAUAACACUCAACUGUGAAGGUCUGUGGCUUCACUGUUGAAGUCAGCAAGACCACGAACCCACCGGAAGGAAGAAACUCUGGACACAUCUGAACAUCUGAAGGAACAAACUCUGGACACACCAUGUUUAGGAACUGUAACACUCACUGCGAGGGUCCAUAGCUUCAUUCUUAAAGUCACCGAGACCAAGAACCCACCGAAAGGAACCAAAUUCGGACCCAAUGGUACUAUGUUAAUUCUUCUACCAGUCAACAAUUAAGAGCAACUGUCUUGCUUGUAGCCUCAGCAACAUAUUUUUGUCCCUCGGUUAAAUGAAGAACAGCCAAAAAGAUAAACACUAUAAUUAACUGCAAAAAGGGUUCUCUAUAUGUUCAAAUUGUUUUCUAGGUAUAUUAUAUUAAUUAAAUGUGUUACGAAGCAAGUUUUCCUUCAACAGACAUAUAAAAUAAGGACUGUGGCAAUAGCUUGCUUUGCUGUAUCCAAAGUUACAUGUGGUUUUAUCUACAUUGUUUUAGAGUAAUAUUUUAUGCAGUUUGUAGAGACUUUUUAGCCUGAUUACUCCCAUACCUUAUGUCUCUUUCAGAUAUUUCUUGAAGUAACUACAGUAAAACCAUAUAUAUUUUUAAGGACUAGGUCAUAUAGGUUGCUUCUAGAUUUGCUGAAGAUAUAAUAUUUAAAAUUUAUUAUAAAACAAAAAUAGGUGCUCUUUAUUAUUGCAUUUCCACCUUCUUUUUUUUUUUUUAGACGGGUUUUGCUCUGUCACCUAGGCUGGAGUGCAGUGGCAUGAUCUCGGCUCACUGCAACCUCCACCUUUGGGCUCAAACAAUCCUCCCACUUUAGCCUCUCGAGUAGCUGAAACUACAGAUGUACCACCAUCUCCAACUAAUUUUUUGCAAUUUUUUUUUUUUAUAGAGACAAGGUUUCUUCAUGCUGCCCAGGGCCUGGUCUUGCCUUGGUCUAUCAACAUGCUAGGAUUAUAGGCAUGAGCCGCUCUGCCUGGCAUUUCCACCUUCUUUAUGCAGUACUAUAGUCUUUUCAUGUAUAAGUUUUAAGAGCUAACUUAAGGUAAUACAUAUAAUAUUUUGAAAUAUGUAGCUAAAACUAGUGUUUAAACACAUAACAGUAUUACAAGUUCUAUUGAAGAGUUAAACAAACUUAAAUGAUCAUGAUGAAAUCAUAAUGGGAUAUCAUAGCAGAGUUAGUAAUUACCUUAUUUGGCCCUUAAUAUUCUGGCUUGCACUGAAUUUUUUUCCAAGUAGAAAUUCUCCAGCUAAAAAGAACCUGCGAUAUCACUUAUUCUAAAACUCCAGUUUUACACAGGAUGAUACUGAGAUCCAGAUGGAUUCAUCAAGUUAUUCAAGAUCACCUUGCUGGUCAGGAGUAGACUUAGAAACAAAACUGGCUCUGGUUAAUAGAGCCCAUGGACUGCGGGGUCAGCCAAUCUCGAUUUGAUUUCUGAUUUGUGACAAAUGACCUAGAAUUACUUCAUUUCUUCAUCCAUAAAAUGGGGAUAAAUGACCUACCAUAUAGGGCAUUGUGCAGACUGAUUUAAUGAGGUGUAUCAGUAAGUGACCAGUAGAUUGCCCGGACGUCCAGCAAGCCUGACUUCCCUUCCAAGGCUCUUUGCAGGAUGCAACUGAGAAACAAAUAUUUCUCUGUUUUUUUUUUCCCACUUCCCGUGGUUGUUAAUCCUUUGUAAGAUGUGAUUUUAAGCUAUUACAGGUUUCUGUAAGCAACAGGACUUUAAGAAUUUGAUCUUUAGGAAGCAAUUGUAAAUCAUACUUUUACCAUCUGUGUUAACUUGGAUUUAUCAUUUCCAAGCUCUGAAAUAUAACCUUGUACUGAUUAUCAAGAGCUAGCUUGUGAAGCUUAAUUUUAGAUUUGGCAUUCAAGUUUGAGUUAUCUGAGGUAAUAAUAUAUUCCUCACAGCAUAGCUUAAAAGUCCUGACCACUGUUUUUCAUUCUUCGGCUGUGAAUUAUGCUAAGGUCCAGGAGUCACCAAGAUGAAGCAAACAGAAGAUUUUCUAAGUGCCAUGGUUGCAGUUUUUAAGUCAAUUGAGAUUUUUCAGAUGAGUGGAAAGUGAAAAUUAUUUCUUUCAAAACAGCUGGUAAGAUGGGCAUGGGAUUUAGCAAGGCUCUGCUAGAUUUAAGAGCCUUAGUAUCCAGGAAAAGGAACGUUUUAUUAAAUAACAGACAAACUUUAAGGAGCAUUGGCUGUGUGCCAGGCACUCUGCUAGAGAAAACCAACUUCUCAGCGGAUUAAGCUAUAUGACUAAAGUCCUACACCAAGUAUGAGUACUAAGGUAAGAUUUUAAAAAAUGAACAUGUGACUCAUAAGCCAAUGCUCGUUUCUCUUUACAAGUCAAAUUUCUGAAUCAAACCUUGUUGUGGAUCCUUUUACUAAUACAAGCUCUACACUCAAUCCAAAAUUUCUAGGCUCUGCCAAGCAUGGUGGUUCAGUCUGUAAUCCCAGCACUUUGGGAGGCCGAGGCGGGCAGAUCACCCGAGGUUAGGAGUUUAAGAACGACCUGGCCAACAUGGCGAAACCUCGUCUCUACUAAAAAUACAAAAAAAUUAGCUGAGCAUGGGGGUGUGUGCCUGUAAUCCCAGCUACUUGGGAUGCUGAGGCAAAAGAAUCACUUGAACCAGGGUGGCGCAGAUUGCAGUGAGCCGAAAUCGCGGCACUGCGAUCCAGCCUGGGUGAUAGAGUGGGACUGUCUCAAAAAAAAACCAAAAACAAACAAAAACCAAAAACAAACAAAAAGUUCUAGGCUCAGAACUGAGAAGUCAUUGUGUAGUUUGCACUAAAAUGAUAAUAUGUGUUUUGGCGGUUUGCUUGCAAUCUUUGGCAUUGCUUGGUGUGUGGCUGCCUCACUUCGGUCUCUGCCUUCAUAUUUCCAUGUGUUCUCCCUAUGUCUCUUCACAUUGUCUUCCCUCUGUGCAUGUCUGUGUCUAUUCCCAUAACAUUCUUUUUCAUAAGGAUACCAUUUAGGUUAGAUUAGGGGCCCACCUUAUUCCAGCGUGAUUCAUCUUAAUUACAUUUACAAUGACUGUACCCCAAAUAAAGUCACAUUCUGAGGUACGGGGGAUUAGAACUUCAACAUUUCUCUUUAUAGGAGUCACAACUCGACCUGUAACAAGGUCUAAAAAGCCAAAGUGAAAUUACUUAAUGAAUUCAGGUCAGGAUAAAAAGAAAACACUCGAUCGUUUAGAACAAAAGAACAGCAUGCUUGCCUGGAUAACUGGAACGAC
rnacentral:lncRNA from 10 species